rnacentral:rRNA from 2 species
AACUUGAGUGCAGAAGAGGAGAGUGGAAUUCCACGUGUAGCGGUGAAAUGCGUAGAGAUGUGGAGGAACACCAGUGGCGAAGGCGACUCUCUGGUCUGUAACUGACGCUGAGGAGCGAAAGCGUGGGGAGCGAACAGGAUUAGAUACCCUGGUAGUCCACGCCGUAAACGAUGAGUGCUAAGUGUUAGGGGGUUUCCGCCCCUUAGUGCUGCAGCUAACGCAUUAAGCACUCCGCCUGGGGAGUACGGUCGCAAGACUGAAACUCAAAGGAAUUGACGGGGGCCCGCACAAGCGGUGGAGCAUGUGGUUUAAUUCGAAGCAACGCGAAGAACCUUACCAGGUCUUGACAUCCUCUGACAAUCCUAGAGAUAGGACGUCCCCUUCGGGGGCAGAGUGACAGGUGGUGCAUGGUUGUCGUCAGCUCGUGUCGUGAGAUGUUGGGUUAAGUCCCGCAACGAGCGCAACCCUUGAUCUUAGUUGCCAGCAUUCAGUUGGGCACUCUAAGGUGACUGCCGGUGACAAACCGGAGGAAGGUGGGGAUGACGUCAAAUCAUCAUGCCCCUUAUGACCUGGGCUACACACGUGCUACAAUGGGCAGAACAAAGGGCAGC